rnacentral:piRNA from 1 species
GACUCUGCAAUGGUCUAUUAUCAGG